rnacentral:miRNA from 10 species
CUGUUAGGUUGGUGCAAAAGUAAUUACGGGUUUUGCCAAUAAAAGUAAUAGCAAAAAUCACAAUUACUUUUGUACCAACCUAAUAUAUAGUGCUCAGGCUUUGAGACUGUUG